GCUCACAGUCCCUGCCUGACAUUUGAGGAGUGCUCUUAAAAAAACCUACCAUUUCUGGCACACUGGCCCUGCUGCUGAAGAGCUGUUCCUCUUCCACCUCCUUCACCUACUGGGAUUAAAAGCUACAGAGUCUGCCUUCUUACGCAGAGCCAGUGACUCAUUCCUGGGAUGUCUUUGCUGAAUUUGCCUGGUCACCUCCUUCCCUGAGCGCUGCUUCUUGCUUGUCACAUGAUCCACCACC
rnacentral:lncRNA from 1 species